GAUGAACGCUGGCGGCGUGCUUAACACAUGCAAGUCGAACGGUGAACACGGAGCUUGCUCUGUGGGAUCAGUGGCGAACGGGUGAGUAACACGUGAGCAACCUGCCCCUGACUCUGGGAUAAGCGCUGGAAACGGCGUCUAAUACUGGAUAUGUGACGUGACCGCAUGGUCUGCGUUUGGAAAGAUUUUUCGGUUGGGGAUGGGCUCGCGGCCUAUCAGCUUGUUGGUGAGGUAAUGGCUCACCAAGGCGUCGACGGGUAGCCGGCCUGAGAGGGUGACCGGCCACACUGGGACUGAGACACGGCCCAGACUCCUACGGGAGGCAGCAGUGGGGAAUAUUGCACAAUGGGCGCAAGCCUGAUGCAGCAACGCCGCGUGAGGGAUGACGGCCUUCGGGUUGUAAACCUCUUUUAGCAGGGAAGAAGCGAAAGUGACGGUACCUGCAGAAAAAGCGCCGGCUAACUAC
rnacentral:rRNA from 1 species